rnacentral:rRNA from 1 species
AUUGAACGCUGGCGGAAUGCUUUACACAUGCAAGUCGAGCGGCAGCGCGGGGCAACCUGGCGGCGAGCGGCGAACGGGUGAGUAACAUAUCGGAACGUGCCCAUUGGUGGGGGAUAACACAUCGAAAGAUGUGCUAAUACCGCAUAAGACCUGAGGGUGAAAGGGGGGGAUCGCAAGACCUCUCGCCGUUGGAGCGGCCGAUAUCGGAUUAGCUAGUUGGUGGGGUAAAGGCUCACCAAGGCGACGAUCCGUAGCUGGUCUGAGAGGAUGAUCAGCCACACUGGAACUGAGACACGGUCCAGACUCCUACGGGAGGCAGCAGUGGGGAAUUUUGGACAAUGGGGGCAACCCUGAUCCAGCCAUUCCGCGUGAGUGAAGAAGGCCUUCGGGUUGUAAAGCUCUUUCGGCAGGAACGAAACGGUUUGGGCUAAUACCCUGAGCUAAUGACGGUACCUGAAGAAGAAGCACCGGCUAACUCCGUGCCAGCCGCCGCCGUAA